ACGUGUAGCAGUGAAAUGCGUAGAGAUGUGGAGGAACACCGAUGGCGAAGGCAGCCCCCUGGGAUAACACUGACGCUCAUGCACGAAAGCGUGGGGAGCAAACAGGAUUAGAUACCCUGGUAGUCCACGCCCUAAACGAUGUCAACUGGUUGUUGGAAGGGUAACCUUUUAGUAACGAAGCCAACGCGUGAAGUUGACCGCCUGGGGAGUACGGUCGCAAGAUUAAAACUCAAAGGAAUUGACGGGGACCCGCACAAGCGGUGGAUGAUGUGGUUUAAUUCGAUGCAACGCGAAAAACCUUACCUACACUUGACAUGCCAGAAAUCCUGCAGAGAUGUGGGAGUGCCGCAAGGAAUCUGGGCACAGGUGCUGCAUGGCUGUCGUCAGCUCGUGUCGUGAGAUGUUGGGUUAAGUCCCGCAACGAGCGCAACCCUUGUCACUAGUUGCUACAUUUAGUUGGGCACUCUAGUGAGACUGCCGGUGACAAACCGGAGGAAGGUGGGGAUGACGUCAAGUCCUCAUGGCCCUUAUGUGUAGGGCUACACACGUCAUACAAUGGUCGGUACAGAGGGUUGCCAACCCGCGAGACGGAGCUAAUCUCACAAAGCCGAUCGUAGUCCGGAUCGCAGUCUGCAACUCGACUGCAUGAAGUCGGAAUCGCUAGUAAUCGUGGAUCAGCAUGUCUCGGUGAAUACGUUCCCGGGUCUUGUACACACCGCCCGUCACACCAUGGGAGUGGAAUCCGCCAGAAGUAGUUAGCCUAACCGCAAGGAGGGCGAUUACCACGGUAGGUUUCAUGACUGGGGUG
rnacentral:rRNA from 1 species